CUCGAGGCUUCCCGUCGAUCCUCUGUGCGCGGGCGCUCCUUGGUGGCCCCGCCCACUUCCUCCCCCUAUAUAAGGCGAAGACCACGUGUGUUCGGCCAUUUGUUGCUGGCUUCGGGAGGAGCAGCAGGUGCGAUCCUUCGCUUUCCUUUUAACGUGCUUCGCCGUUCGGAGGCCGCUGCUGGGAUGGUGUAGGCAGGGUGUGGACUGCAACUACCAUCGUCCCCAGCCGGCCGGGGAAGAUGGGGCCCGCUACCUCCAGCCCCCCAAAAGGGAGCUAGAAAUGGUCUCCAUUGCCUUCGGAGUAAGGGAGUUAGAUGUAGAGGGGGCUUCAUUGUCACUUUAAAUGGGGGAGGUGGGGGAACGACUUCCGAAGCAGCCCCUUUGCUUCCUGCUCACCUCAUUUCCCUCCUGCUUCUGCUUGACUUUUGUCAGAAUUGGCGGCGACGUCUUCUAGAAUAACGGAGUUGGAAGGGACCUUGGAGGUCGUCUAGCCUAACCCCCCUGCUCAAGCAGGAGAGACCGACACCAUUCUGAACAAAUGGCUGUCCGGUCUUUUCUUCCAAGACCUCCGUGAUGGAGCACCCACAACUUCUCAAGCCAAGCUGUUCCACUGGGACAUGAUGCUGGCUCUUCAACACAUGUUUAGAAUGAGCUCUGAAAGUCAUUGGCCAAAAUGAAGAUGUUUUGUCCUGAACUUUACAAAGGAGCUGAGAGGCCAUGACGUCCAACUCCCAACCAAGCAGAUGGAGCAUCAUGGACGCAAUUGACGGGAACGAGAUGAGAUUUAGUUCUGAGAGGUUUCCAAGGAGUCUGGCUCCAUUCUUCCUUCAGGGACCUUCCUCUUCAGUUUCACUUCAGGGAGGCUCCAAUUCAGCAUCUCUUUGGGUCACCUGUGUUCUUUUCUUCAGCCUCCAUAUGCACUUUUGGAGAAUAAUCGCUUGGGAAAUGUGAUUUUGAGUGAACCAGGUUCUGAGCCUCCUUGAGAGCGCUGGCUUGGUUUGUGUUUUUUAAGCUCCUUUGUCAGCUGAGCGUAGUGGAGGGUAUUCAGGUCAUCCUCAAGUUAAGAAUGUAAUAGAGCCUGCCAAUUACAAUAGUAACACAUUCAUUUGUUUGAAUCACAUUAAAUGAAUGUGAUCACUCCCUGCUUUCCCCAGUGCAUUUGUUAAUCAAAUGUGCAGGUCAUUAAAUGCACAUGAGGUAUCUCAAGAGUGGGGAAGAGAUGUGGGGCCUCCAGUGGGAUUGGGGGUAUUGACCACGUAGCUUCUAAUGUUCGCUAAGGGAAUGCCAGGGAUUACCUACACGGAGCAGCAUAGUUGUCUGAAGAUAGAAGUGUCUCCAGGUGUAUUGCAAAUAUUGAAUCCUCCAGGUGCAGCUUUAAAAACCGCCCGAAAGAGAAACAGUGGCAGAUCUGUCCCUUACUCACCCGGCUUGGGUUUAUUGUCCUUCAAAUAUAAAUUCUGGAAUUAAAUCCAGUGUUCUAGUGAAAGCUGGCCAAUGCAAAAUGGAACAGAAAUAGGAUUAUGAAGAAGUUGCAAAUAAACGUUUUUCUCAAACCAGAAUGGCCUCUUUGUUUACAAUGAUUCCUGCAAGUUUUGAUUCUGCCCAGUGCUUCUCCUACCUGGGCUUCUUUCUAGGUAGGGGGAGGCUUUAA
rnacentral:lncRNA from 1 species